rnacentral:lncRNA from 1 species
GAAAAAGAGUAUUUGCAGCCUUGGAAUGUCUUGCUAAAGAUAACAGGAAAGAAGAAAAGAAGAAAAAUUAAAAAGAAUGUAAAUGUCCACUUUAAUUAUUUCCAUAUCUUUAGACUAGAUAGGUUUGCACAGUUAAUUGCAAAAAUGAUUAAGACAAAUGCUAUUAGUCACCAUUUAAAUCCUUUUUAGAAUAGGAGAAAUGUUGAUAACAGGAACAAGCUUAUCCCAGGCCAAUGCAUUUUACCAAUAAUAGAUUUACUGACUAGAAGGUAAAUGGAGGAGACGAAAAAUUGAAGAGCUGUUAGAGAGUGGAGUCAGAGCAGUUCUCCCAACACUUAAAAGAAAUGGGAGAGAAAAACAUGAGUUGAGGUUUCCUGUGUUUUGACCUCUCUUUACAGAGAAUGAGUUGUAUCUGGAGAAAUGUUUAGUUAUUUUCAAAUACAGUGUUCAUUUUCAGAUGAAAAUGUAUUAACAAAGCAAUGGCAUCAGUGCAGACCUCCAGGUGAAGAGUAAAGGAAAGGGGUCAGCUUGGAGAGGAUGGAGGAACUGUUUUUCCAGGUGCAGAUUCUCCUGUUGCCCAUGGCAUGGAACAGUGCCCCUGAAACGUCUGAAAUAAGCAUUGUGCUCUCUGGAGACAGAGGAAAGUCUUUUCAUCAUCCAAAGCCCUGGCAGCCCCAGCUGUAUUUCACACCUGAUUCUACUCACAUGACCAAAAUAAGCAAAAUGCUUCAGGAAAACCAAAAUGGUUUUGUCUUUAAAAUCUGGAAAGCAUCCAGCCCUGUGGCUCAUUUUGAUAGGGUGACACCAGAGAUAAAUCAGGUAAGUGUGUGGGUUCAAGCUGACUGCCACUGCCUGGUUCACUGGGAAACCUGGAUCCAUCUGCAUGUC